rnacentral:rRNA from 1 species
UACGUAGGGUCCGAGCGUUGUCCGGAAUUAUUGGGCGUAAAGGGCUCGUAGGCGGUUUGUCGCGUCGGGAGUGAAAUCAUCGGGCUUAACUCGGUGCUUGCUUUCGAUACGGGCAGACUAGAGGCAUGCAGGGGAGAACGGAAUUCCUGGUGUAGCGGUGAAAUGCGUAGAUAUCAGGAGGAACACCGGUGGCGAAGGCGGUUCUCUGGGCAUGUCCUGACGCUGAGGAGCGAAAGCGUGGGAGCGAACAGG